AACGAACGCUGGCGGCAUGCCUAACACAUGCAAGUCGAACGAGAUCUUCGGGUCUAGUGGCGCACGGGUGCGUAACGCGUGGGAAUCUGCCCUUUGGUUCGGAAUAACAGUUGGAAACGACUGCUAAUACCGGAUGAUGACGAAAGUCCAAAGAUUUAUCGCCAGAGGAUGAGCCCGCGUAGGAUUAGCUAGUUGGUGUGGUAAAGGCGCACCAAGGCGACGAUCCUUAGCUGGUCUGAGAGGAUGAUCAGCCACACUGGGACUGAGACACGGCCCAGACUCCUACGGGAGGCAGCAGUGGGGAAUAUUGGACAAUGGGCGAAAGCCUGAUCCAGCAAUGCCGCGUGAGUGAUGAAGGCCUUAGGGUUGUAAAGCUCUUUUACCCGGGAUGAUAAUGACAGUACCGGGAGAAUAAGCUCCGGCUAACUCCGUGCCAGCAGCCGCCGUAAAAC
rnacentral:rRNA from 1 species